GGGGACCCUAGAUUGGUGCCAGGCAAGACAACUAUUUUCUUAUUGCACGAAAUACAUAUGACUGUAAAGAUUUCAACAGCGAUUCCCCAGAACCUGAUUUCGAGUCCAGCUCGCCCCCGCGUCCACGUGUAUCGUGCGCAUGUACGCGAACAGGGCUCCAAGGAAUACAACUGCCCCAGUCUGCCUUAAAGAGCCAGGCAUGUGCUGGUGAGGCUCUCCCCACAACAGGCUGCCUCCCAGCUCUCUUAAGGUGGACCAGAAGAGAUGUGUUGAAUGUGUAUAGUACCUUGCAGUAACAAUGGACGGGAAAGAGUUAAUUCCCACGGUCUCUCCUCUAGCCUCUUUGUGAUCUCAUGGAAGGCUGUCCAGUGGAUAUGAUGAUCGCUCUCUUCCCCAGAUCACUUCUUAUACACCGCAUAGCAUCUAAUAAUAGGGUACAUACACACACACACACACACACAGACAACACCCCUCAUAUAAAGGUCAAUUCACAUGAGGUGUGUAUGAUGAGAGGUCGGACUGAUCACAAGCUGUACGAUACAUGACAACCUGUUAUGACUUGUUCACAGCAUAAGCAACACAUGCCACUAUGUUACAACUGUGGAAUGAAUGAGAGGCCCACACAUGGACUAUUGCUGCUCCUAGUGCUUUUUCUUGCACCCAAAUACACUACGUUUUGACUUCACUGAAGUCUUUGUCCAGGAUAUAUUACGAUUGACCUAAAACUAUUUACAUCUCUUAGUAUUCCUCAUCACUUACUGUAUCAUGUUAGUUUAGUAUAAGAAUAAGAAUAAUUUUUUAUUUUAGUGUGUACAUUAAUGUGUUUUAUUGUGUAUGUCACUGUCUAAAAAUGCAUCUUCAGUUCUUUGUAGGCUAGUCUGUAUUUGUGGGUUGACAGUGCCACCUGUCCUCCUUAGGUCAGUGUCUGCCUGAGGUAAGUCCCAGCAUACUGUCAAUAAGCCAUGAUCUUGGCGUCAAAACAAUAGGUGUGUUAGUGCGGUGGAAAGGCUAGGGCAGCAUGUGUUAACCCCUCAUUAUGAGAUAAGACUAAUGUGCUCACACACACUGCCUGUACAUAGAAACAAACCGUAUGAACACGUAUAGAUACAUAUAAACCUUCUAAAACACAUAUAGACAUUACAUUCAUAUGUGUAUUCUCAUAUUUACAUAAUACUGUAACAAAUAUACUGUGUAUCUAUCCAUAUUCUGCAUACCGUAUCACCCCACUACACUGAAAUACAAUACAGAAUACACACAUCUACCUAUUCCUAUCAUAACUAAAUCAUUUCCUCUAUGCAUUUGUAAAUCUUUGUGUCUGUGAGGUGUGUGUGUGUGUGUUUUGUUCUCUACUGUCCUUAUGCACUGCUGGUAACUUUGUGCCACUCUAAUGAUCUUAAUGUCAUCCUUGACUGAUGAGAUUACAGAACACAGUUGUGAUAAGGUAUGUAGAGGAGAGACUGAGCAUCACUAUAACAGAUCCACUCAGUACAAACAGGACAACUAUAAACAGCUACACUUGACCCAUGAGACCAACGGGAGAAAAGGGAAAGCCAGUGUGUUACCCAACAACACGACAAAUGUAAAGCAGAAGUCUAAAGUAUGAGAGGUAGAGGGGAACGGCACCUCCGUACCUUCAGGCUCUGAUCAGUCCCUGCACCCA